AGUGAACGCUGGCGGUAGGCCUAACACAUGCAAGUCGAACGGCAGCACAGUAAGAGCCUGCUCUUACGGGUGGCGAGUGGCGGACGGGUGAGGAAUACAUCGGAAUCUACUUUUUCGUGGGGGAUAACGUAGGGAAACUUACGCUAAUACCGCAUACGACCUACGGGUGAAAGCAGGGGAUCUUCGGACCUUGCGCGAUUGAAUGAGCCGAUGCCGGAUUAGCUAGUUGGCGGGGUAAAGGCCCACCAAGGCGACGAUCCGUAGCUGGUCUGAGAGGAUGAUCAGCCACACUGGAACUGAGACACGGUCCAGACUCCUACGGGAGGCAGCAGUGGGGAAUAUUGGACAAUGGGCGCAAGCCUGAUCCAGCCAUACCGCGUGGGUGAAGAAGGCCUUCGGGUUGUAAAGCCCUUUUGUUGGGAAAGAAAAGCGGCAGGUUAAUACCCCGCUGUUCUGACGGUACCCAAAGAAUAAGCACCGGCUAACUUCGUG
rnacentral:rRNA from 1 species